rnacentral:rRNA from 1 species
UAGUAACUGCGAGUGAAGAGGGAAAAGCUCAAAUUUUGAAUCUGGCGGUCGUGAUGGCCGUCCGAGUUGUAAUCUAGAGAAGCGUCUUCUAGCGCUGAGCCGUGUACAAGUCUCCUGGAAGGGAGCGUCAUAGAGGGUGAGAAUCCCGUCUUUGACACGGAGAAUCAGUGCGAUGUGAUGCGCUCUCGACGAGUCGAGUUGUUUGGGAAUGCAGCUCAAAUAGGGUGGUAAAUUCCAUCUAAAGCUAAAUACUGGCGAGAGACCGAUAGCGAACAAGUACCGUGAGGGAAAGAUGAAAAGAACUUUGGAAAGAGAGUUAAACAGUACGUGAAAUUGCUGAAAGGGAAACGCUCGAGGUCAGUCGCGUCCGCCAGGGAUCAACCUUGCUUCUUCGCUCGGUGCAUUUCUUGGUCGGACGGGUCAGCAUCAGUUUCGAUCGUCGUAGAACGGUCGAGGGAACGUGGCACCUCUCGAGGUGUGUUAUAGCCCUCGAUCUUAUGCGUCGGAAGGGACUGAGGAACUCGACACUUUUCGUGUCUAGGAUGCUGGCAUA